CCGGUGCGUGUGCACCCGGCUUCUGCACCCACCUUUGCCCUACCGCGAUGACGGGUGGGCCGUCGCUGGUCCUGGUCCCGCUCGUCGGCUGCCCUGGAUGCAUUCGUCGGGGUCGUCCCGUCGUUGGUUGCGGUCGCGUGCAGGGCGGGCCCAGCGCUGCGUGCGGCUCAGUUUCGACAUAAAAAGAGGGCAAGGGAAAAAGCAAAGCGCCUCCUCUCGCACUCCACGGUCCAUCGCGCCCACCUCCCGCAUCUCGUCCAAACCUCCUCGGCGGGCUUGGAGGCGAGCUUCCCCAGCAGCCGCGGAGGUGUGCAGGCAAAGGGCGACGGCGCCGGCGUGCAGGCAAAGGGCGACGGUGGCGGCGCUCGAUUCGUUCUGUAGGAGAGAGAGAAGAUGAGAGGGAGCGAGAAGGAAGAAGAUGAGAGGAAAAGAGAGAAGGGGGGAGGAGAGGGAGGCGUCGUGUCAGACGGGAGUGGGUCACCGGCCGGCGUGGGCCUGCGCUGGCGAGGUCGGGCUCGACCUUGUGGUUGGUGGCGGCUCGAUCUGCUCCUGGAUCGGGACCUACUAGGAGGCUGGCGCACGUCUUCUAACCUGUAGCGGACUGUACAGCCAGCGGGAGCGCCGGUCCAGAUCAUGGGCAUAGCUCGGUCGAGCUACAGCGAGUGCAUCUGAUUCCAACACAUCAAGGUGAGCUUCACACUUCGUUCCCUCUUUUAUUCUUCUCACGCAACGAGGGGUCAGUGGAAAGGCAAUGUGUUUGAUAUGUGGAGUUGGUGUUGAGGCUGGCGGUAGUACACAGGGAAGGCGCCCAUCGCUUGAUCUUGGAGUUAAUUCAUAUCUUUUUUUCUUGAAAGUGUGAAGACAUUUCUUAGAUUGUUUCUUGUUUUUUUGGUGUGUGUUCUGUUCUACUGAUAAGUGGCAAGAAAGAAAAAACCUGCUUGAAUUAUAGAAAGUGUUGUAAGAAAAUUAUGAGAAUGGAAUAUGGACUGCAUAUAUACGUAUGAUGCAGCUGUUUUGCAUCCGGAGAUUGGAUUACAAGUUCUUCAUGUUUGUGUACACUGAUUUCUCAAAAGUAUUAUGUGCUGCACAUAUUUUUAUUUCUUUUGACUAAUUUAGAGCAAGGUAGGUGUGAAGGCUGCCGAUUCAAGGCUCAACUCGAGCAAAACUUGAGUUCUUGAUUGUUUUGUCGAUGUAGCAUCUGAGACUGACUUCUCUACCCAGUUCUGCUCUGUAACUUCAGAAUAUAUGUUGUCAUGUGCUUGCUUCAGCUUUCGGUGUCCGGAUGACUACAUGAACAAGACUCGCCAGGUUGACGAUUGUGAGGUUAUCGAUAUUCUCCUGCAAACGAGUAAAUAGCAUAAAACUACUACAAUUCGGGUUAGGGUUCCAAAAACCUACCGGAUUUUAUUUUUUCACUGAUAACUACCAACUCAGGGGCCGACUGUUUCAAAAAACCCAAAUCACCUAGUGCUUUACGAUCGAUUGCGAUUAUGACAUGUCGGGUCCACACCUAAAUGAACAGUCUGUUUGACCGUUAGUUUGACCGUUAACUUACAAGUGGGACCCACAUGUCAGUGUCUCUUCCUCAUAAUAAGCAAUCGGGCCCCUGCAAUUUUUCUGAAAAAGCAAUCGGGUCCAUGUAGUUUUUCUCGAAAAGCAAUCGGGUCCCUGCUUCUUGCCGCCGUCGUGCCAUGCCGUCCAAACGGCCUCUGCUACUGCUCCAUGCCGCCACCGCGCACCUGCAGGCCUAUGCUACUGCUCCAUGUCGCCGCCGCCCACCUGCAGGCCUCUGUUGCUACUCUUGGGCCAUAGCGACGGCCUCUGCUGCUGCUCCUUGCAGCCGUCGAGCCACGACGGCCUCUGCUGCUGCUCCUUCCAGCCGCCGAGCCCUGCGUCGCGUGUCCGCGGCCGGCGGCGCCACGGUCGAGUUGGUGCGGCGCGUGGUGACUUCGACGACGCCCGGACGAUGUGACGCAUGCGCCGGCCGUCGGAGCUGGUGGCUUUCGGCGGCGGCGAGCUGGUGGCUUCUAUCAGCGGAGGAGAGAGGGAGGCCGGGGAGGGGCGUCGCCGGCUUGGGAGAGGAGAAGGCCGCCGGCUAGGGAGGGGCGUCGCCGGCUUGGGAGAGGAGAAGGCCGCCGGCUAGGGAGGGGCUAGGUGGGUGCCGUGCUCGGGAGAGACAGAGUUCACGGGAGGGGAGGGGAGGAAAAGGAGAGAAGAAAGAAAAGAGGAGGAAGAGAUAACUUACAUGUGUGCCCCACACGUAAGUUAACGGUCAAACAUAACAGUCAAACAAACGGUUUGCUUAAGGGUGGGUCCGACCUGUCAUAAACAUUAUCAAUUUUAUAACACAUGAUGAUUUGGGUUUUUUGAAACAGCCGAUCCCUGAGUUAGUAGUUAUCAGCGAAAAAAUAAAAUCCGGUAGUUUUUUGGAAUCCUAACCUGAAUUGUAGUAGUUUUAUGCUAUUUACUCACUGCAAACUGAAUUACUUCCUUUGUGCUUGCGUACCAUGAAGAUGGGCAGUGAGCUAUCAAAAAAGUAUGUAACUAACCAUCUCAAUCGUCAUCUAAAUAUUAUCACAAUCUUUCUUUUUUGUUUAGCCUAACAAAUGUCAAAUUGUUUCUUUUCAAAAAGCAAAUUUUGCUGUCUGAAGUUUGUUUGGAACACUAUAUUACGAAUUUACUAUCAGUUCACAGGUUCUUGAUUAUCUCUAGCCUACUCUGCUACGCAGUGAUCUGGCCAUUUUUUUACUCAGGUUGUCGUUUGCUCAUUGCUGUCCUAGCUGUGCUUCUUCCUUCUGGUAAUGCACUGCUCCUUAGCUUGUUUCUUUGUAUUUCUUAUGAGUCCUACGUUUUGCGUAUGUUGCUGCCUCUGCAAUUGAUAGUAUGUGCUUUCUUUUGCUUGGUAUAAUUUGGUGGGUGUGUUUCCUGGCGCUAGGCCUACUUUUGUCUAUGGUUGAGCUAUCUGCAUAUACCAUGGGCUGUGCGCUUGUGUACUGACGAUGAUUUUGGCAUGGUUUAUUGUCUAUUCUUUCUGCUAGAUUAGCUUACAAUAAGAUUGGUGCAGUGGAGGUAAAACUACAUUGUCUGGUUGUGUAUCUUAGUUUGGCUAAAAGCACAGCAUGUCAAAUUGAUCGGUGGCCAUCUUCCCCAGUUUCUGCAUAUUUAUUAUUGGAAAGAGAACCAGGAUACUCAUUGAUUAAUAAAAGCUUUAUAGCUUUGUUCUCCUUUCAUUCAUUUCUUCAGUAUUAUUCUCUUGGAUUGAAGGUAUUAUUGUGAUGCCGUCCUGUUGUUCUGUAUGUAGUGGAUGGCCUUUCAGACAUGUUUUAAUGCGUUGAUAGAUUGAUGCGCUUUAUGUCUGCAUUGUUGUGCCUGUGUUCUUACACUUUUGUCUAUGUUUAUUUUGCCGGUUAGACGAACUGCUCUGUUCCUAGACCUGCAGCUCAUUUCUGCUCCUCAAGAUUUGCUCUCCUUUUCUUCUGCAUGUUCAUUAUUUGUGGCUACAGAUAUAUUUAUCUUCCUGCGCGUAACUGAUGUCUAGCAUUGCUGAAAAUACCUUCAUCAGAGCUGGUCUCCAUGCCUUCAUCAGAGCUGGUCUCCAUGCCUUCAUCAGAGCUAAUGUUCACACGAUCAUUCAUGCAAGCUCCCCUCAUGCUCAGCCGUGGUGGAAACCUAAAACAACAUAGAUUUUCAGUCAGCACAGACUAAUAAGCCACAUUACUGUAACGGCGUGUAAAUAUGCCAGAGGUUUUGAAUGGGGCUUUAUACCACCAAAUUAGGAUGUGUGUAUAUAUCUCAUUGUACACAACAAGACACCAUUUUUUCGACUUAAGGAGAUUAUGUUUAUUAUGAUAUGUACUUGGCCAUAGCUAGGCUUACUAAAACAUAUACUCUGUGUUAUCAAAGUAAAAUAUGUAUACACAUCUCUGUGCUAUUAAAGGAGAUUCAACUA